rfam:Anncaliia algerae PRA339 unplaced genomic scaffold supercont2.3, whole genome shotgun sequence.
GGGUCUGUGGCCCAACGGCUAAGGCGUCUGACUACGGAUCAGGAGAUUGCGGGUUCAAAUCCCGUCAGGCUCG